CCCAGACUCCUACGGGAGGCAGCAGUGAGGAAUAUUGGUCAAUGGGCGGAAGCCUGAACCAGCCAAGUCGCGUGAGGGAUUAAGGCCCUGCGGGUCGUAAACCUCUUUUGCCGGGGAGCAGUGGUCCGGACGCGUCCGGACCGGGAGAGUACCCGGAGAAAAAGCAUCGGCUAACUCCGUGCCAGCAGCCGCGGUAAUACGGAGGAUGCGAGCGUUAUCCGGAUUUAUUGGGUUUAAAGGGUGCGUAGGCGGGCAUUUAAGCCGGCGGUCAAAUGUCGGGGCUCAACCCCGGCCUGCCGUCGGAACUGGGUGCCUUGAGUGGGCGAGAAGUAUGCGGAAUGCGUGGUGUAGCGGUGAAAUGCGUAGAUAUUAGGAGGAACACCAGUGGCGAAGGCGACUUUCUGGACUGUACCUGACGCUGAGGCGCGAAAGCGUGGGUAGCGAACGGGAUUAGAUACCCUUGUC
rnacentral:rRNA from 1 species